CUACGGGGUGCACCAGUGGGGAAUAUUGGACAAUGGGGGAAACCCUGAUCCAGCAAUGCCGCGUGUGUGAAGAAGGCCUGCGGGUUGUAAAGCACUUUCGGUUGGGAGGACUGCUUCUAGCACUAAUAUUGUUGGAAGUUGACGUUACCUUCAGAAGAAGCACCGGCUAACUCCGUGCCAGCAGGCCGCGGUAAUACGGAGGGUGCAAGCGUUAAUCGGAAUUACUGGGCGUAAAGCGCGCGUAGGCGGCUAGAUCAGUCGGGUGUGAAAGCCCCGGGCUUAACCUGGGAACUGCAUCCGAUACUGUCUAGCUGGAGUACAGGAGAGGAGAGUGGAAUUCCACAUGUAGCGGUGAAAUGCGUAGAUAUGUGGAGGAACACCAAUGGCGAAGACAGCUCUCUGGCCUGAUACUGACGCUGAGGUGCGAAAGCGUGGGGAGCAAACAGGAUUAGAUACCCUAGUAGUC
rnacentral:rRNA from 1 species